rnacentral:rRNA from 1 species
GACGAACGCUGGCGGCGUGCCUAAUACAUGCAAGUCGAGCGCAGGAAACCGUCUGAACCCUUCGGGGGGACGACGGCGGAAUGAGCGGCGGACGGGUGAGUAACACGUAAAGAACCUGCCCACGGGUCUGGGAUAACCACGAGAAAUCGGGGCUAAUACCGGACGGGUCAUCGGACCGCAUGGUCCGAGGAUGAAAGGCGCUCCGGCGUCGCCCGUGGAUGGCUUUGCGGUGCAUUAGCUAGUUGGUGGGGUAACGGCCCAACAAGGCGACGGUGCAUGGCAGACCUGAGAGGGUGAUCGGCCGAACUGGGACUGAGACACGGCCCGGACUCCUACGGGAGGCAGCAGUAGGGAAUCUUCCACAAUGGACGAAAGUCUGAUGGAGCAACGCCGCGUGAACGAUGAAGGCCCUCGGGUCGUAAAGUUCUGUUGUAAGGGAAGAACAAGUGCCGCAGGCAAUGGCGGCACCUUGACGGUACCUUGCGAGAAAGCCACGGCUAACUACGUGCCAGCCGCCGCGGUAA